CUGGAAAACAUCUGUGGAGGAAAAAUUGAAAGAUCAAAAAUAUGCUAGAGGAAUUCUAAGCCUAUUACUGCCGUCCAUCGUUGAUAAUUAAGAAACACAAGAUUAAAUAUGGAAUUUUUUCUCUAAUCUUAUUAGGCUAGUCGCAAUAUCUAGGCGAACCAUUUACAGUGAACAAAGCAACAUGUGUAAUGAAAAUAAUGGAUAAAUAACUAAGUAAAAAUAUCGGGGGUUUAAGAAAGAGCUUGUAAACUGAAGGAAUCAAAAAAAAAUUAAAAUCGGGGAUCAAACGAUUGCAACAACAAUCAACAUAGUGUAGCAAAUCUCUAGAUACGCAAAAGGAAACUAGAAAUGAAAGACAAAAUCUUGCUAGUGUAUAUGUUUGAUUCAAACCAUGGACUUUCAGGUAAACCACCACAUCAGUUAGGACAGUAUGUUUGACAUGGUCACAUUAAAAUUACGACUUGAGCGCUGCUCCAAGGAAAUGGUACAACAACAGUUACAAAAUAACCCCUAAGGCUAUCACAACCAACUACAGCAGACAGAUCCAGACUCAUUCAAGGUACACAAAUAACUACUUUAUAUGAAGAAAAAGGGAUGAAGUAGAGAAAAUGAAACGGAAAGAGGGAUGAGUGUGCGUUUACCUUUUUCGGGGCAGCGAAUGGGACGACGAGCUAUCAGCAAACUUAUCGCUACAUGGAAUCUCACGAUGUCCACCACAAAAGAAGCAUCCCUUUGGCUUUUACCUCUUAGAGAUUUUGUAACCCCCCAGAUUUUCAAACUAAAUAUCUUCAAAUCUUAGCUUUUUCUGAAAAUAUUUCGAAACUCCCUUUGCUUGUAAAUCUUCCAACUCAAAAGGAAAAGAAAAGGAGAGAAGAGAAAAACAAACUUCUCAUUUCUUUCAGCUCCACAGCCCUCCUCCGAGCCUCGACCUCCCCACAAAGAGAAGAAGACCCCCCCCCCCCAAAAAAAAAAAACCAAAGAAAGAAACCCAAAACUUCUCCAAAAUAAACCUAACCUGCUUAAUUUUCCAACCCAAAAUUCCUAGCCCCUGCUAGAAGAGAGAAGAAAGGAAGAAGCCCCCCUUCAAUAGUGACCUAGGGACCCUUUUUAUAGAAGUCCCACUAGGGUUUCCCAAGGGAUUUCAAAUAAGGGCAAACUCCAAAUUUUACCCGAAUCCGACUACCCCCAACGGUCUGUGCCUCUCCUCAUUGUUUUUCUCAAGAAUUCCAAAAUGGAUUAGCCAAUGCAAAACUAUACUUCCAAGAACCAAUGAAAUUUUUCCAUAGGGGUACAACUCAUACCCCUUUAACCAAGAUUCUAGGGAUUAAACGUUUAACGAGACACCUAGGCAUGUUUUUAAAAGGUUUCUUGGCAUCUUCGUUGUACGGGUACGCAUGGGACGCGUGAAAAAGGUUACAAAUGGGUAGGGUAUGGCCAAGGGUUGAACGAUGGUAUAUUGCCAGGUCGAUGCGGGUUGAAGACGGGUUAAGGGGUCGUUUGGAGCUGAUUAUCAGGUUUUGUAGAUGGUUUUAUCACAAUUUGGAUUUGCGUCUUUUCUAUGUUGUAUGCUGACUAUUGAAGGCUUCUGGUAUAAAAAGUUAAUGUAGAAGAUAAGCAAAUGGGCCGGGUAGGUAGAACUUUUGGCCUGUUGUUGAAUUUGGCUAGCUAGGAAGAAAGAAAAUGGGGAUCAGUUAUGGGUCUGGUUGAGACGGGUUGGGUCAGCUGAUGUUGUUGGGUUGCACAGCUGUCCCAAAUUUGGUUAGGGAUUUGGAGAUUGUUUGGAUUUAAAAAAAAAGAUGAAUUAUAUUUUAGGCUAUUUGUUAAAUAGCCUAUGAUAGGAUUUAGCCAAUUGUGUUUAAAUUUUGACCUAAUUGAGGAUUAGUCUGCCAAUUGUGUUGCAAUUGUAGCCAAAUCAACUUCAAUUAAAUUUAAUUUAGUAAAUUGACCGAAUUGAAUCAAGAUUUAAAACGAACUUAGCAACUAAUUUAAUCUCGUGCUUCUUCGAUUCGAUAAAAUCAAGUAACCAUAUCUCCAAAUAAACUAUUUUUGAAGUAGAUCAUUUUCAACUCGAGAUUUUAAUUAUCAUAUUUAUUUUCAAAAAUAAUCUUUAAUUAAAACCUGAUAUUCCAUAGAAUAAACAUUUAAGCAAUCAAAUUAUAUAGUAUCUCAUAAUUGACCAUGAUAAUAUGUAAUUGCUACUUAAAAGUGACAAAAUCAUGUACAAAUACUUUUCAAAGAAAAUUUAUUCGGAUGAAAUAAUUAUUUUGAUUUUAUUAAAAAUCGAAGAAACUUGAGAUUAGAUUUAGUCAUGGAGGGCAAAAAUAAGUUGUCAACAACUGCCCCCUCCCUUUAGGUAGGAUGGAUGCAAGUAAUCCUGGGUAAAUGGAGGUUGAUGUUCCUAAUUUUUGUCCGACCAUAGAUUCGAAUCUGAAAGAAGCUGGUUUUCGCAUGAGUUUGAUAUAGUCAUAGCCGGACUGCGGUAUUAGGUUUCCUACAUAUCUCAGGUUAUAUGAGAAUUCAGGCCACUUGUAGUUCAUAGAGCUUGAUUUAAAGCACGAUUUUCAAAAAAUUCAUAAGUUGUCUCGAUUAGUUGGAGUUUUUAAUUAAGCCAAAAAUCUGGGGAAUAGAGGGAUUUGGGGGGAGGUUGGAAUGCAGUCGAGUUUUCUACAUAGAUCCCAUCCUACAUAUCCCUGAGACUCAGGGAAUCAGAUUGCUUAUAGUUCGACUCUAUCGGUAGAAAAGAUAGUCUUCUAUUUUCAGAUAAUCUUUGGAUCAGGAUGAGUGACAAGUUGAUUGAGUUGCGGAAAAGAGGAUUGUAACCUAUAAAUCAUGAAUGUGGGAUCCUUCACCCAUAUACAAGAACUUAUCUAGACAUAAUUUCCAAAACUCUCAAUAUGUUGGCACCUGAAGGAGAAAGUUCCCCUCGGUAUGAAUGAAGAAAAUAUCUAAGAGGUAAGGCCGAGACCAGAAUAUCCAAAAAUACCCACAUUCCUUCUAAUAGAGGCGUGGUUAGAUGGUGGUAGUGUCAAUCUUUGGAUAAUCUUGCGCAUUAUUUGACAUUGUAUACGAGGUGACUUACAGAUAUCCUUUGAAUUGCUAGCUUUUAUGUAAUCCUACAUAUUAUCCGACUUUGGAUAAGAUAUGGCUUACAGAUAUCCCUCCAAUCGCUAGCUUUCAGUUGUUCCUGCACAUCAUCCGACCUUGGAUACAAUAUGACUUAUAGAUAAUCCCUCAAAUUGUUAGUCUUUGGGUAAUCCUGCACAUCAUCGAUCUUGGAUAUGACGCAGCUUAUAGAGAACCCUUGGACGGACCAAUUUGAUAAUCUUGCAUAUUCUCCGGUAAGGAUUUAGUUGUGACUUAUGGAUGACCUUUGAACUAUUGACUUUUGGGAGAUCUUUCACACUAUCUGAUUAGGAUAUUGUUGUGGCUUACGGAUGACCUACAGGCUAUCAACUCAUAGGUGAUCUUACACACUAUCCUGUUUCAAAUAAUAUGACUUAUAGAUGCCCCUCAAAUUGUCAAAUUCUAGGAAACCUUAUAUAUCAUUCAUCCUUAGAUAAUGACUUAAAAGCGUUCCUUCAAAUCGUGUUCUCUCAAUGCAUUCAGAUGUUGAUUCACAAAAAGAUAAUGAUAUCUUUGAUGCCAGUGUUGUGUCUAGCGCAUCAAUAGAUAUAUUGAAUGCUGAUGAUAUCCUUGACACCAGCGUUGUGUCUAGUGCGGCAACAGAUAUUAAAUGAUGAUGAUAUCCUCGACGCCAGUAUUGUGUCUAGCAUGUCAACAGAUAUUGAAUGCCUUUUGGAGCGAUGGUAUGAGAUGGCCUUUGCGAAAAUGAUAUGAAAUGGCCCUUGCAGAAAUGAUAUGUGAUUUCCCUGGCGGCAAUGAUAUGUAAUGGCCUUUGCAUCAAUGACAUGUAAUGGCCUUUGCAGCAAUGAUAUGCAAUGGCCCUUGCGGCAAUGAUAUGUAAUGGUCUUUGCGGUAAUGAUAUGCAAUGGCCUUUGCGGCAAUGAUAUGUAACAGUCUUUGCGGCAAUGAUAUGUAAUGGCCUUUACGGCAAUGAUAUGUAAUGGCCUUUGUGGCAAUUAUAUGUAAUGGCCUUUGUGGCAAUGAUAUGUAAUGGCCUUUGCGGCAAUGAUAUGCAAUGUCCUUUGCAGCAAUGAUAUAUAAUGGUCUUUGCGGCAAUGAUAUGCAAUGGCCUUUGCGACAAUGAUAUGUAAUGGCCUUUGUGGCAACGAUAAAAUAAUUUUACCUGGCUUCAUUCGUCAGUGUCCUGCUUUCUACAUGUACCUAUACUCAAGGUAGAUGAUUAGUAGACACAAAGUCGCUUUUACUAGCGACUAUUUUUAGGAAACUUCUAAAUACAAUAUUUGUAAAUAAGACCAAGAGUUUUUGCUUGUCGCCUACGAUCUCAAGAAAUGAAAUGGACAAAUCAAAAGGUCCUCAAUAAAUGGGCAUUAAACCUAUUUUUAGGGAUACCCUAAAAUACCGUUCUUGGAUAUUAAUGCUCUAUUGUGACUCCCACUUUGCUCGGGGAUUUUUGAAAGAGACCCUCAUUUUGUAUAUUGAACCCUGCAUCCACAAAAAAAUGAUUAGUUUGAAUGAAAAUACUCCGUGUUGACCUUCUUCGAUCCUUGAUUUGCUCCUUGCCAUCUCUUGGGCAUUCCACCAUAUCGGGACUUCCACCCUGACACCCCAUCCCAAAUGAUGUUUAGGGAAGUACUAAAUAAGUGAGUCAUAAGAUUUUUGAAAAUAGUUUUAAAUUUUUAAAAAUAAUUUCAAAAACUUCUGUAAAACAUUAGAAAAUCUCUAUCAGUCAUGUCAUGUACUAGCUCAAUGAACGUCUUCCUCGUGGUUUUGACUAUAUCCAACGGAUGGUUUCCAAAACUCAUGAUCAUUGUUGGAGGGUUUCCUCAAGUAGUUCUAUCAUAGCCAAAAAUUGAGUCAACCCAGACUUUGUUACAGUUGGUGACUUCCAAAGCUUGACUUUAACCUCUGGUGUUGGGGAAUUUGGAAAAUGUUAUGGCAUUUGGUGGAAAUUUUGAGGUCUUCCUCAAAAUUUCUGCCUCAGUUUAAAGUUGUUUGAGAUGAUACCAAUCCGAAUAAAUCUGAAGUCUUUGCUGAUCUUCAUUCUCUUUAUUGGAUGUCAAUCUUCUCUUGUGAAUCUUUUAUAUUCCUUCUCAAAAAUUCUGCCCCAGUUUCCAUUUCUUGGGGUUAUAUGACCGAACCGUUGGGGCGCCUACGUAUCCCGUUGAAGCAGGAAUCAGGUCAAUCGUAGGUCAGGACUAUGCUAGAAAUUAAUGGGUUGACCAAAGCCGACAUAGGCCGCCUACGUAUCCCUUUCUUGGGAAUUCAGGUCAUCGCGUAGUUCACACAUAAGAAGAAAAUGAUGAAUCAUCCUAAGCGGUUGACCGAAGCCGACACAGGCUGCCUACGUAUACCAUUCUUGGGAAUUCAGGUCAAACGUAGUUCGUACAUAAAGGGAAAGGAUUCUAGGCAGUUACACACUAGACAACAAUAUUAUCACAAAAGCAAUUAUAAGUCAAUUAAGGAAAAACAAAAAUUAAACCGUCUUUUAAACAUAGUAUCUCUUUACCGCAUCAGAAUUGAUUGGUUUGGUUCAUUCUCGGCCAUCCAUCUCAGAAAAAUCAGAGCUCCUCCAGAUAGUACUUUGCGAACUAUGUAUGACCCUUGCCAGUUUGGAGCAAACUUGCCUUUGUAUUCCUCUUGGUGAGGGAAUAUUUGUUUGAGAACCAGUUGCCCCACUUCAAAUGUUCGAGCUCUCACCUUUUUGUUAAAGGCACAAACCAUCCUAUGUUGAUACAACUGACCAUGGAAUACAAUGACCAUUCUCUUUUCAUCAAUCAUCAUGAUUUGUUCAUAGCGAGAACGAACCCAUUCUUCGUUACUCAGUCCAGCUUCCUGAAUAAUCCUUAGGGAAGGUAUUUCAACCUCCGCAGGUAUUACAGCUUCAUUCCCACAAACAAGCAAAUAAGGAGUUUCCCCGUUGAAGGUUCGAACCGUUGUACGAUAUCCUAGCAAAGCAUAAGGUAACAUCUCACGCCACGAUCUAUCAUUCUCAACCAUCUUCCUCAAAAUCUUCUUGAUAUUUUUGUUGGCAGCUUCCACGGCUCCAUUCAUUUGGGGACGAUACGCAGUCGAGUUGCGAUGCGCGAUUUUGAACUGAUCACAAAUUUCAUUCAUCAAGUGACUAUUUAAGUUUCCCCAUUAUCCGUAAUGAUUGAUUCCGGUACUCCAAAUCGGCGAAUCAAGUUAUUCUUGAUGAUAUUUGCAACCACUUUCUUAGUGACGGCUCUGUAUGAAGCAGCUUCAACCCACUUAGUAAAGUAGUCGAUGGCAACCAAAAAAAAUCUAUGCCCAUUCGAUGUUGAUGGCUCAAUUGGUCCGAUAACAUCCAUGCCCCAAGAUACGAAAGGCAAAGGUGAAUUCAUUGGAUGAAGUUCAUGUGGAGGCAUUCGAAUCAAAUCUCCGUGCAUCUGACAUUUUGGACAUUUCUGCACAUACUUUCCACAAUCAUUUUCCAUAGUCAUCCAAAAGUAACCGAUUCUCAGGAUCUUUCUAGCAAGGAAAAACCCAUUUAUGUGGGCCCACAAAAUCCAACGUGUACCUCUUUUAUCAAUUUAUUGGCUUCCGCAGCAUCGACGCAUCUUAGGAAUCCUAAGUCAGGAGUCCUCCUAAAAAGAAUUCCCCUACUUGGAAAGUAAUUCUUCGCCAAACGCUGGAUUGUGUUCUUUUGGUUGUUACUAGCCGCUUCAGGAUAUAUUCCAGAUUCCAAAUACCUCUUAAUGUCAUAGUACCAAGUCUUUCCAUCAGGCUCCUCUUCCACGUGUACACAAUGCACGGGUUGCUCCUUCAAGCUUAUUUCCAAAGGAUCAAUCUAACUCUGAUCUGAGUGCUGAAUCAUGGAAGAUAUAGUGGCCACAGUGUCAGUAAACUCAUUUUGUAUCAGUGGGAUAUGUCUAAAAUCAACUUCCUUGAAUAUUUCACUUAAUUCUUGCACCAGCUCCACAUAAGGAGUAAUCUUGGGAUUAUUACCUCCCAUUCUCCCGUACCUGGUGAAUCGGCAAAUCAGAAUCCCCGAUGACUAAUAAUUCACGAACACCCAUAUCAAGUGCCAAUUUGAGACCCAAGAUGCAAGCCUCAUAUUCAACCAUGUUAUUGGUGCAUGGGAAACGUAACUUAGCAGUUACCGGAUAAUACUGACCCAUUUAUGAUACCAAAACUGCUCCGAUUCCUGACCCUUUGAAGUUGACCGCCCCAUCAAAAAGUAUCCUCCAUCCGGGGUAAAUCUCAAUAAUGUCUUCUCCUACGAAAAAACUUCCUCAUCUAGAAAGUAAGUUCGAAGUAGCUCAUAUUCCUCAUCAACUGGAUUCUCUGCCAAAUGAUCUGCUAAGGCUUGCCCCUUGAUUGAUUUUUGGGUUACAUACACAAUGUCAAACUCACUCAGCAACAUUUGCCACUUGGCUAGCUUUCCUAUAGGCAUGGCCUUCUGGAAUAUAUACUUUAAUGGAUCCCUUCUCGAGAUGAGGUAUGUUGUGUAGGAGGACAAAUAAUGCCUCAACUUUUGUGUUGCCCAAGUCAAAGCACAACAUGUCCUUUCUACAAGAGUGUAAUGGGCUUCAUAUGGCGUGAACUUCUUACUCAAGUAGUGAAUGGCUUUCUUUUUCCUGGCGGUCUCAUCAUGUUACUCGAGGACACAUCCAAAAGAAUUUUCUGAAACUGACAGGUAAGGAAACAAUGGAAUUCCUUCUCUUGGCGGUACCAAAAUGGGCGGCGCAGAUAAAUAUUCCUUGAUAUGGUCAAAAGAUCUCUGACAUUCUUUUGUCCACUCAUUCAAUGAUUUUUUCUUUAGCAUCUUGAGAAUUGGCUCGCAUAUGACUGUCGACUGAGUGAUAAACCUGCUAAUGUAAUUCAAACGCCCCAUGAAACUCAUAACUUCCUUCUUGGUUCUCGGCGGUGGCAAGUCCUGAAUUGUCUUGAUUUUGAAUGGGUCUAACUCGAUGCCUCUUCUGCUAACUAUGAACCCCAGUAACUUUCCUGAUGUCAAGCACACUUAGCAGGGUUUAACUUCAAACUGUACUUUCUUAAUCUACUGAAGAAUUUUUCUAGAUGGGUCAGAUGAUCCGAACUCUCGUGGGAUUUGAUAAUUACGUCAUCCAUGUACACCUCAAUCUCUUUAUGGAUCAUAUUAUGGAAAAUGGUCAUCAUAGCCCUCAUAUAUGUUGCACCCGCAUUCUUGAGACCAAAUAGUGUUACCUUGUAAUAAUAGACACCCCAAGGCGUAAUAAAAGAUGUCUUUUCUGAAUCUUCCUCAUCCAUCAAUAUCUGAUGAUAGCCAGCAAAAAAAUCAACAAAAGAUUGAAUUUCAUGCUUUGCACAAUUAUCAAUGAGGAUAUGAAUGUUGGGCAAUGGAAAAUUAUCUUUAGGACUAGCUCUAUUCAAGUCUCUAUAGUCAACACAAAUGCAAAUCUUGCCAUCCUUCUUUGGCACGGGGACGAUGUUGGUUAACCAUGCCGAAUACUUUGUGACCUUUACUACCUUAUACUGGAUUUGUUUCAUCACUUCUUCCUUGAUUUUUAGAAUUAAGUCUGGCUUAAACUUCCGCAUUUUUUGCUUGACUGGAUCAAACUCAGUAUUUAUCGGCAACUUAUGUGACACAAUCCUAGUGCUCAAUCCUGGUAUAUCAUCAUAGGACCAAGCAAACACGUCGAUGUAUUCCCGCAAUAGGUGGAUGAGCUCUUUUCUUUGUGGCACUGCCAGGUGGACACUAAAACUUGUCUCUUUGAUUUCAUCGUGAUCUCCCAGAUUGACUGUUUCAGUUUUCUCCAGAUUGGAUUUUUCUCGAUUCUCAAAUUCCUCCAUAUCUUCAACUAAUUGUUCCUCGUCAUCAUCCUUCCAAUCAUCAUCGUUCCCUUCAUUUUGUUCGUUCAAGCUUUGACAUGACAUGACAUUAGCAGAUUUUAAUCUACUGUUACAGUAAUGGACAAACAAACCAAGUUAGAUGAUAGCAAGAUAAUAACAAAAUAUAUUACUAGGAUUGUUUUAGAAAUAAUAGAAUUUUUCAAAUAAAUGAAGGCCUUUUCAUUGAAAUUUGAGAGAUAAUCACAAAACCAUGGCUCGCGACUUGCACAAAUACAAGUCCAUGCUUUUUUUAAAGCAGUGAGAUACGAAAAAAAGUUUUGAGAUAUAAAAGGUUGAUCACGGGGCCUCCUCCGGAUCAUCACCGAUUUUAAAACUAUUAGUAAUUUCCCUUUCAUCUACCACAACGGACGACAGGCGACGGGUUAUGAGUGGAGUGGAGGUCCAAUUUUGCAAGGCCUCCCCUGGCGCCAUCUUCUUCAACCCGCUGGAUUUUGGGAAAUCUUCUGAUAUAGCAUUGCAUCCCUCGAACAAAUAUCCUAUCCCAUCCCUAAGACCAUCAUCAUCUGAUACCUCUCAUACGGGAAAUGACUGGCACAGAGUGGCAAGGGCCUAAACAAACUUUUCUCUGACUCAUCCUCAACCCUACCCUUCUUGGUAGGUUGAUAUACUAAUCCAUACUUAGAGCCUCUCUCUAGGAUCGUAAUAUGCUCGAUAAUUCCUUGUAAAUUCUUGCCCAAGCCUCGACCAGGUUCGAACUUAUUUCUUAAUAUCACCGUUGUAAUCAUUUUGUAGACAGAAUGCAUUGGUACUUUGGGCUUCGAAUCCCUGUCCACAGCAUUUACAAUUUCCACUGUAUAGAAACUGCUAAAUUUUGGAACAUCUUCAAUCACUGGCACAUAACCAUUGGGAUGAUCGGCUCGACUUCCUUCUCCUUGGAUGACUACUUCAUGAUCCUCCCAAAUAAACUUCAAUAAUUGAUGAAGGGGUUAUGAAACUGCCUUUUCACCGUGUAUCCAUGGUCUUCCCAAGAGCAGGUUGUAGCUAGGAUGGAUAUCCAUAACAUGAAGCUUAGUCUUGAACUCAGCAGGCCCCAUUUGGAUGUGCAAAUCAAUCUCUCCUAUGGUAUCUCUCUGCCCUCCAUCGAAUGCUCUCACAUUUAUGUGGCUUUGGUAAAUUUUUCCCAAAUCAUAGCCCAUUUGAACUAACAUGGAGAGGGGACAAAUAUUCACACCAGAUCCGUCAUUUAUUAAUACCUGAUUAAUUACAUAAUCUCAACAAAUAACGGUGACAUGCAUGGCUUUGUUAUGCAUCACCCCUUCAAACGGAAACUCUUCAUCACUGAAUGAUAUGCGAUGAUUCCCCAUAAUAUUUUCUAUCAUCGCAGCCAGGUUCUCAACACUCGUCCCUGCGGGAACAUAUGAUUCAUCCAAGACCUUUGAUAAAGCUUAUCGAUGGUAUUGCGAACUCAUUAAUAGUGCUAAGACAGAGAUUUAAGCUGGUGUUUUCUCUAAAUGUUUGACAAUUGAAUAAUCUUUGGGUUGCAUAUGCCUUUAAAAUUCUUCAGCCUCUCCUUCAGUGAUUGGCCUUUUCUGUGAAUCCCUUUUGUUGGUCAAUUCUUUAGGGAUGUAGCAUCAUCCCGAUCACGUCAUCCCUUGGGCAGCAGUGGUCUGCACAAUAAAUUCUUUCCUUGGCUGGGGAGCGUACACUUCAGUCGGUGCAGUCAUCACUAUAAAUGGGGAUUUUCGUUGAUACUCAAGGAAUCCACAACAUUCUCUAUCUUUCUUACCUCUUUCGCUCUUCUGGAUUUUUUGUAGUUCACAUGGGUAAUGGUCUUGCCAGAUGCCCAUUCGCCCUCUAUUUCAAUCAUGUUAACUGUAGAUCCCCCAUGGUUGGGCAAUGGAUUACUGUUAACAUUUGGUGUAGGUUCCUGGAGCGUGAUGACCUUCUAACCGAUUAAAUCCUGGAUCCUAUGUUUCAGGUAGCCACAUCCUCUGUACUAUGCCCCGCUACUCCUGAAUGAUAGGCACAAUGUUGAUUUACAUUAAAAAAUCGAGAGUUGGGAUUGACAUGCCUUGGUUGUAUUGGUCAAAUGACCAGCAUUCUUCAAUCUUUCAAACAAUUGGGUGCGACUUUCAGCUAGUAGGGUGAAGUUUUGGGGAGGUUUCUUUUCGUGGUUUGGAUGCUGGGGGUUGUACUAGCUUUGAUUUGUAGGAGGAGGUACUUGGUGAUAAUUUGGAGGCACUUGAAAAUUUGUUCGAUUAUUUAAAAGAGCGGAUAAGAAAUGAGACUGAUAAUUUGGAUGUGAAACUGGGUAUUGGGGAAAAAUAUUUGGCUGUGGAGCUUGGUAUGAGGAUUGUAGGUUUGGGAGUGGAGUUUGGUACUGAGGUUGGACAUUUAAGAGUGGAGCUAGGUAUUGGGGAUAGGCGUAGAACAUGUGUUGGAGGUUAGGUGACGGUGGAGAAGAUAAAACAUUUCUACAGUUGAACCACUUUUUUGUUUUUGCAAUAGGAUUAGUAGAAAUCACACCUACAUCUUUCUUUUUCUUCUUCGAGAACAUGAUAGUCCCAGACGACGUCGGUGUUUUGGUAAUUUUCCCUGUCUGAAUACCUUCUUCCAAUGAUUCUCCUAUUUUUACCAAAUCCGCAAAAGUUUCCUUAGUAGCGAACACCAUCCUGGUAUAAUAUUCUCUUUCUUGAGCACAAGAGAAUACGGAUACCAUUUCCUCCUUGGACAUGGGGGGUUUCACUUUGGCAGCUUCUUUCGUCCAACGAAAAGUAUAGUCUCGAAAACACUCAACAUUCCUCUAUUUGACCCAAUCUAGUGAAUAUUGGUCAGGGACUAUUUCAAUGUUGAAUGCAAACCGGUUAAGGAAACCCUUGGCCAAUGCUUUCCAACUAGUCCACUUUUUCGGCUCCUGAGACAUGAACUACUCCAAGGCUUUGCUGCUCAAACUUCGACUGAAUAGGCACAUCAAUAACGCAUUGUUUUUCCCUAUCCCUACCAGUUGCUCACAGUACCUGCUCAGAUGGGCCAUUGGAUUUCUGGUACCGUCAAACAUCUAAAACUUAGGGACUUUGUACCCAUCUGGUAGGCCUACUCCUGGGUGAACACAUAAAUCAUCAUACCCUAAACCGUCGUGGUCCCUAGCUCCAUGAGACUCUUUGAUCCUCAUGAUCUCUUCCUUCAUAGCUAGUAAAUUCCUUUCAUGCUGGGUCCUCCAUUCUUUCUCCUUCUCCUCGUAAUGGUCUAUCUCAGGGUUAUGAAGGGGUUCAUAAAUAUCAGGGGAUAUGAUGGCUUGAGGGGGAUUUGGAAGGGAGGCUUGAUUUUGCAGAACAAAAGGAACUUGGUUGGUAAGUGGGGAGGAUUCUCUUGGAAUUCGCAAAGUUCUGUGGACUUUGUGAGUAGUUUGGCGAAAUAUGAGAAGGAUUUUACGGAUUUGGAAAUGAAUUUGGUGGAUUCGAAGGUAGGUUUGACGUAUUUUAUGGGUUUGAGAGUGAAUCUUGCGGAUUUGGGAAUGCAUUUUGUUGAUUUGAAAAUGUGUUUUAAGGUUUUGGGAAUGGAUUCGUAGACGGGUUCUGUGGGGUUACAUAUGGAUUUUGUGGAUGGUAGGUAUCUGGGUUAUUUUCACGAUUAGUAUUUUGGACAAAUGGAGGAGCGGAGACGGAUGAUACGUUAUUUGGAUGAUCCCCAAGAAUAGGUGUGCUGAGGGGAGGGAUUUGGAGUGGAGUCCCGUGUCCUCCUGGAGCGGGGGCAUUGACGGUGAUGGCCAAGUUAGCCAAAUCUUGAGUGUGAUUUAUUUCCUCCUGAGUCAUUUCUAACUUUCUUGCAAGUUUCGCAAUUAUUUCAUUUUGUUCUGCUAUUACAUUGUCCCUGAUGGUCAAUGCGUUUUCUUCAUCAUUUCUAAUCAUUAUUGAAUGAUGGUCAAAGGAUGGAAUUUUGUGCGCUUUUGACCGGGUGAAGUAGGGAUAUUAACGCGGAGUAGUUUCUGUUAUUUGUAAAGUAAAACAAUUUAAAGGAAGAUGUGUUAGUUUCCGUAUGUGAUAAGUAAUGCAAAAUAUUUGACAAGAAAUAACCACGUAGAGUUGUUUGAGUCAUAGCCAAAUUCAUCCAUAGGAGCAUAGUGGAUAAAAUUGCCUUUGAUUCAAAAAACACACACAAGCACAUAAGACAAUUAUAUUACACAAAACAUUAUAAUAAUGUGUAUCCUAACUGGGGUGACCCUUUUUGAGCCUAGGGUUCAGGCCUAAUGAUUUUAAAGAAAAUAUAUGCCUCCUUAAAGUCAAUCCAUUAUCCCCUAACUUAUAUAGACACGAAAAGGGGCAUAAAUGCCUACAAAAGAUAACAAAAGAGGGAUACAAUUUUUAGGUAAAAAGGGAAAUAAUAUGAAAGAAAAUAACUUCCCGCGCAGGGGAAAUAGAAAAACUAGCUACCGGAGGAUCCUUCGUCUGCCUUUGCCUUCUUUACUUUGUUCACCUCCUGUGCUAUUUGAUACCUAUUGAUGAUCAGAUGAAUCCCACAUAACUAUGCCUUGCUAUCAUAAGUCAUUUUUCCUAUACUAUCGAGUUGAGAGGCCAUGCUAUCAUCCAAAUCGAUUAAACACUGCCUAGCAUCAUCAGCCUCUUGCCUAGCUCUUUUCAAUUCUUCCCUUAACAUACGUAUUGUUAAAGAAUCUUCUACAUGUAUCUGUCGGUGCGAGAUUUCACUUUUUUGAAACUCAUCCUGAAGCCUGUGGAGUCAGAUCUGAUGUUCGGAUUCUACAUCCACGACCCGAGUGGGCACGUUCGGCCCCGGAAUCAAUGCUCCGGUGAGGCUCUUUUUUAACCACUCCUUGUAAGUGUCACUGAUUUCAGGUUCAUACCCUAUAAAAAAAGAGACUUCCAUCCACUUUCUUCUUCUCCAUCCAUUUAUUAUGUAGUCUCUGAUCAGGGGCUCGCUUUCAUCAUAUUUGGUAAAGAAUCUGACCAUAGAAUCGAUUUGAGGCGUCUCCUGCUUGAUCUCGAAUUGCCUAAGAACUCUGCCAGGAUUGUAGGGACGUGUUCCCCUGAGAUUCGAAAGCACUAGAAGAGGCCACUUGCCCCCUCUAAUGGUGUAUUUACCUGAACGAAGAGAGUUAAUGGACCAUUGCACAUCGUCAUCUCUUAAUUCCCCGAAAGUCUUAAACCAAAAUUCGUGAGAUGCUUCCCUUUUGAACUUGUGUAGAAACAACCACAUGUCAUGCUAAGCCAGCAUAUCCACCCUUGUUUUAUGAUCAGGUUGUACCGUUCUCAAAUCCUUUACCAAAUGAUUCAUCAUCCACCAUUGUAAUAUGAGGUUUCAACCUUGAAAGAAACGAUUUUCAACUUGACACCUUCCCAAGGCUCGAUAUAUGUUGGCGACAAUCAUGGGAGCUAAAUUGUUGAAUACCUUGUUAGAAUCGUAAUCUACUCCAAAGAAAAGUGCAUGAGCCACCGUAACAACCCUUGGAUGUAUUGUGCCAUUUUCCCCCUGUGGGAACACCAUGGUUCUGAGUAGACCUACCGCAAACACAAAGUCUCUCAUCUCCUUCCAUUUUGCUUCGGACUCAAAUUUAUGUCCAAAUUUGUGGAAGGCAUUGAAUCUUCCAAACCAAUUAUACAACUCCCAAAAAGUGAUAUUUGCUCCAUCACGUUCCCCUAGCCAGGUGUCUUCGUCAUUUAAAAAAGCCUCUUUGAUUGUUUGAUGGUCCCACACGGCAGGAACUAAAAUGCUCUUAUCAGGUUUUUCCUUUCUCUUGAAACAUAUUUCAAUACUCUUAUAGCAAAUUAACACUUCUUUGAUGGUAGGAGUCAAUUCCACAUCCCCGAAGCGAAACACCAUAUUUUGAUCAUCCCAAAAAGUGGCAAGCACGUGGAUCAUUUCGGGCAAAGCAUCCAUUUCGAUCAAUGAAGGCAGGUAUCCGAUGUGUGUUUUAACAAUUUUUCUCUCUUCUGCGCUCAUAUAGUCCCACCAUAGUUUCAGGUAAUCGUCGAUUUUAGUAACCAUCUUAAACUUCUCAUGGGAAUGCAAUUGAGCCAUACCUACAUGAAAGCAAACAAAGAUAAGCCUUCCCCCAUCCCCCAAAGGGUAAUGGAUUGAAUUAGACAAGCAUAUAUUUCUUCAACACAUAAAUAUGAUUCAUCUGUAAUUGACUCAGGGUUAAUAGACGCAGGGCAGGUUUUCUAAUAGGCCCAAUACCCCGCUUGGGUAUUGGGUCAUCCUAGGCUCAUGCCUGAAAUAGGAUUUUGGUUUUGCUCUAUCCUAGGUAUCUAGAGAGUGGGUUUGAACACUGGUUCUCAAGUGGAAAACUUGAGUUUGAAAAUACAAAUAGGUAUCAGAUGACUCACAUGCUAAUAAACUGUUUGUAUUUCCAACAAAUUUUUGGAAUUGAUCAAUAGGGGCCGGGAUACCCACGAAACCCCAAAACAGUUUAUAUAAUGCAUCAAUAUGCCAUGAUUGCGAUAGUUAAACUUUACAGAAUCGAAACAUAUAAACACAUAAACAAUUAAUCAAAAGACGAAAUCAAACAUUUGGUUAGAACCUAGUUCAAAAAAUCCCCAGCAGAGCCGUCAUUCUGUUUUGAAAAGGAAUUAGGAAACCUUUAAAGAGUUACUUAAAAUGAUUCAAAGCAGGAAAAUUGGUUUAAGUUUUGAAGAUUCUGAGUAAGUAGUUCUUAUUAACGUUUUAGGAAGGUGUUAGGCAGCUAAAACGUCCGCUCACUUGCGGUUAUCCGAUUUGUUUGAAAACAUCUUUGAUUAAUUUCUAGAGAUUAAUUUGCCGAAAAAAUGAUUGAUUUUAGAAAUAUUUUAAAAGUUUGAAAAAAUUAGUUUUUAGAGAAUUCAUUAGGGGAUUUAACUAGGUUCGCAAAAGGCAUGCAAAACAAAUAAUCAAAAAGAAAAGGGAAAGGGGAGAAGUAGCGAUUUAGGAUUUGAAGUCCAAACCGCUAAACCUGUACUAAUCUAGUUGGGUUUUCAACCCAUUUCUCCUUUCACCUGUCCUAUUCCCAUGUUUUCGAGCCCUUUGGCUCGAGUUUUUUGCUUUACCUAUAUUAAAUACAACUUUGGCUUCGAGGCCCAAAAAUUAAUAUAUGAAUAAGUAAUUAAAUAAAGGGAAUAAAAACAAGACUAAUAAAAGGAGAUAAGCCUCUUCUUUCUUCCUUUAAACUUCUCGAAUUUGGAUGCCACGGGAUCACUUUUGAACUUAGACCUUCGGGCUUGAUCCAAAGAGAUGGGCCUCACUGUUCCCUCAUGAAAUGCAAGAGGCAAGAGUCCAUUUGGACUCCAACAAUUUUCAUGCAAAAUAAGGAAACAUAAAGGACCUUAACAUAUCAUUAACGAAGGAAAAGAGAAAAUAAAUUUAGCACACGGCCAACCAAGGGGAAAGAAAUGAAUUAAAAUUAGUUAAUGCACCAUUUCCGUCAAGGAAAGGACAAAUUAGACAAAACCUAUUGCGGUUUUAACCGAACAUGAUAUGAAUCUUUAAAUAAUCAUAAGCUGAUAUGAAAAAUAGUAAGAUGUAUUCACACUAAUUCAAGUUUACAAACUCAACCAAAAUAGCAAAUCUAAAGCAAUUAAUACAUAUCACUGACUUGAUUGAGUGUAACAGAUUUUUCGCCAUUAGAGUCAAAUCUCCUUUUCGAUAUUUCGUUAUUUGUAAGACUAAGCGGGGUGCAAAUUUUCAAAAUAUUGAUACCAAAUUAUCACAGAGAGAGAAAACUAUAUCCUAGAAACUACACAUCACAUAAAAUUUCUCCUUAGAAACCAAAAGAAAACUCAUGGUGAUUCAACUACAUGAAAACUAUCCACUUGGGGUAUGUGAGGAACCAAUCACUAUUAGACUAGCAUUUUCAGGUACAUGAAGGUUAUCCAACAGUAUGAUGUCAAGAGCAUUUAACAUUAUACCUAAUUGACAUUAAACACUGCAGACGUUCGAACUAUACUCCUAACUAAAUAGAUUGGAGAAGUAAGACACUAGAUAUGAAUAGGAUGUCAACCCAUCCGGAAAGUACAACGUUAUGCUAAAUGAAAUUCCAAGUUACAUCAUACAUAGCACACUUAGAAUGUCCAUUCUGACUUCCAACAACAAUAAAACAUAUUGCCUUAACGAUUUGAGCACACUAAAUUUCAGCAUAUGCUAAUUCCCAACAAACAACCAUAAUGGCAAAGAAAAUCAACAUUUAUAAAAAAAGAAGCUGGAAAGCAUCUAUGGAGGAAAAAUUGAAAGAUUAAAAAUAUACUAGAGAAAUUCUAAGCCUAUUACCGCCAUCCGUCGUUGAGAAUUAAGAAACACAAGAUUAAAUAUGGAAAUUUUUCUCUAAUCUUAUUAGGCUAGUCGCAAUAUCGAGGCGAACCGUUUACAUUGAACAAAGCAACAUGUGAAAUAGAAAUGAAAAUAAUGGAUAAAUAACUAAGUAACGAUAUCGGGGGUUUAAGCAAGAGCUUGCAAACUGAAGGAAGAAAAACAAAGUUAAAAUCGGGGAUCAAACGAUUACAACAACAAUCAACAUAGUGUAGCAAAUCUCUAUAUAUGCAAAAGGAAACUAGAAACGAAAGACAAAAUCUUGCUAGUGUAUGUGUUUGAUUCAUACCAUGGACUCUCAGGUAAACUACCACAUCAGUUUAAGACAGUAUGUUCGACAUGGUCAUAUUAAAAUUACGACUUGAGCACUGCUCCAAGGAAAUGGUACAACAACAGUCACAAAACAACGCCUAAGGCUAUCACAGCCAACUACAGCAGACAGAUCCAACCUUAUUUAAGGUACACAGAUAACUACAUUAUACAAAAAAAAAGGGAUAAAGCAAAGAAAAUAAAGCGGAAAGAGGGACGAGCGUGAGUUUACCUUUUUCGGGGUAGCGAAUGGGACGACGAACUAUCAGCAAACUUAUCGCUACAUGGAAUCUCACGACGUCCACCACCAACAGAGCGUCCCUUUUGAUUUUACCUCUUAGAGAUUUUGCAAACCCCUGAUUCAAACUAAAUAUCUUCAAAUCUUAGCUUUUUCUAAAAAUAUUUUGAAACUCCCUUUGCCUGUAAAACUUCCAACUCGAAAGGGAAAGAAAAGAAGAGAAGAGAACAAAAAACUUCUCAUUUCUUUCAGCUCCACAGCCCUCCUCCGAGCCUCGACCUCCCCAUAAAAAGAAAAAGACCCCCCCAAAAAAAAGACCAAAGAAAGAAACCCAAAAUUUCUCCAAAAGAAACCUAACCUCCUGAAUUUUCCAACCCAAAAUUCCUAGCCCCUGCCAGAAGAGAAAAGAAAGGAAGAAGCCCCCCUUCAAUAGCGACCCUAGGGACCUUUUUUGUAGAAGUCCCAUUAGGGUUUCCCUAGGGAUUUCAAAUAAGGGAAAACUCCAAAUUUCACCCGAAUUCGACUACCCCCAACGGUUAUACCUCUCUUCGUCAUUUUCCUUAAGAAAUCCAAAAUGGAUUAGCCAAUGCAAAACCAUCCUUCCAAGAAACAAUGAAAUUUUUCCACGGGGGUACGAACUCAUACCUCUUUAACCGAGAUUCUAGGGAUUUAAACAUUUAAUGAGACACCUAGGCAUGUUUCUAGAAGGUUUCUUGGCGUCUUCCUCAUACAGGUAUGCAUGGGACGCGCAGAGAAGGUUACAAAUGGGUCGGGUAUGGCCAAGGGUUAAACGAUGGUAUAUUUCCAGGUCUAUGCGGGUUGAAGAUGGGUUAAGGGGUCGUUUAGAGUUGAUUAUCAGGUUUUGCAGAUGGUUUUAUCAUGAUUUGGAUUUGUGUAUUUGCUAUGUUGUAUACUGACUAUUGAAGGCUGCUGGUACAAAAAGUUGAUGUAGAAGAUAAGAAAAUGGUUCUGGUAGGUAGAACUUUGGGCCUGUUGUUGAAUUGAUCUAGCUAGGAAGAAAGAAAACGAGGGUCAGUUAUGGGUCUGGUUGAGAUGGGUAGGGUCAGAUGAUGUUGUGGUUGAGAUGGGUAGGGUCAGAUGAUGUUGUUGGGUUGCACAGCUAGCCCAAAUUUGGUUAGGGAUUAGGAGAUUGUUUGGGUAAAAAUAAAAAGAUGAAUUAGAUUUUGGGCUAUUUGUUAAAUAGCCUAUGAUAGUAUUUAGCCAAUUGUGUUUAAAUUUUGACCUAAUUGAGGAUUAGUCGGCCAAUUGUGUUGCAAUUGUAGCCAAAUCAACUUCAAUUAAAUCUAAUUUAGUAAAUUGACC
rnacentral:lncRNA from 1 species